UAGCAUAUGCUUGUCUCAAAGAUUAAGCCAUGCAUGUCUAAGUAUAAACAACUUUAUACUGUGAAACUGCGUACAGCUCAUUAAAUCAGUUAUUAUUUAUUUGAUGGUACCUCACUACAUGGAUAACCGUAGUAAUUCUAGAGCUAAUACAUGCGAAAAGUCCCGACGCAAGGAGGGAUGUAUUUAUUAGAUAUAAAACCAAUGAAGGCAACUUCUUUUUGGUGACUCAUAGUAACUGUUCGAAUCGCACGCGCAAGCAGGCGAUAGUUCAUUCAAA
rnacentral:rRNA from 1 species